GAACGCUAGCGGCAGGCUUAACACAUGCAAGUCGAGGGGCAACACGGGUAGCAAUACCUGGUGGCGACCGGCGCAAGGGUGCGUAACGCGUGAGCAACAUGCCCUAUACAGGGGGAUAAUCCAGGGAAACUUGGUCUAAUAUCCCAUAGUAUUUAGAGGUGGCAUCACCACUAAAUUAAAGCUUCGGUGGUAUAGGAUUGGCUCGCGUGACAUUAGCUGGAUGGUGGGGUAACGGCUCACCAUGGCGAUGAUGUCUAGGGGUUCUGAGAGGAAGACCCCCCACACUGGGACUGAGACACGGCCCAGACUCCUACGGGAGGCAGCAGUGAGGAAUAUUGGACAAUGGAUGGAAAUCUGAUCCAGCCAUGCCGCGUGCAGGAAGACGGCCCUAUGGGUUGUAAACUGCUUUUAUAUGGGAGCAAUAAGGUUUACGCGUAGACCGAUGAGAGUACCAUAUGAAUAAGCAUCGGCUAACUCCGUG
rnacentral:rRNA from 1 species